UGGCUCAGUGGUUAGAGCACUGGCUGCUCUUCCAGAGGACCUGGGUUCGAUUCCCAG
rnacentral:tRNA from 1 species